rnacentral:miRNA from 1 species
GGCACCUGGCAUAGUGGUUCCUGUAUGAAAACAGUAGCUGACUGUGCCUGGAACUACACCACCAUGUCUGCAGUCACAGUAAAGUCUGCC